GUGUCAGCCGCCGCGGUAAUACGUAGGGGGCAAGCGUUGUUCGGAAUUACUGGGCGUAAAGGGCGCGUAGGCGGCACAGCAAGUCGGAAGUGAAAGCCCGGGGCUCAACCCCGGAAUGUCUUUCGAAACUGCUGAGCUAGAGUGCAGAAGAGGCAACUGGAAUUCCCAGUGUAGCGGUGAAAUGCGUAGAUAUUGGGAAGAACACCUGAGGCGAAGGCGGGUUGCUGGGCUGACACUGACGCUGAGGCGCGAAAGCCAGGGGAGCGAAUGGGAUUAGAUACCCCUGUAGUCC
rnacentral:rRNA from 1 species